UUUGCUUCUGGCUCAGGAUGAACGCUAGCGACAGGCUUAACACAUGCAAGUCGAGGGGCAGCGGUGGUGAAGGCUUGCCUUCACCAGCCGGCGACCGGCGCACGGGUGAGUAACACGUAUGCAACCUGCCUGCCACAGCCGGAUAAUCGGGAGAAAUCCCGUCUAAUACGGCAUAAUGCAUCGACGGGACAUCCUGUUGGUGCAAAAGGUUAAUUCCGGUGGCGGAUGGGCAUGCGUCGCAUUAGUUAGUUGGCGGUGUAACGGACCACCAAGACGACGAUGCGUAGGGGUUCUGAGAGGAAGGUCCCCCACACUGGUACUGAGACACGGACCAGACUCCUACGGGAGGCAGCAGUGAGGAAUAUUGGUCAAUGGGCGGGAGCCUGAACCAGCCAAGUCGCGUGAGGGAUGACGGCUCUAUGGGUUGUAAACCUCUUUUGCCGGGGAGCAAAGUGCCGCACGUGUGCGGUUUAGAGUACCCGGAGAAAAAGCAUCGGCUAACUCCGUGCCAGCAGCCGCGGUAAUACGGAGGAUGCGAGCGUUAUCCGGAUUUAUUGGGUUUAAAGGGUGCGUAGGCGGACGCUUAAGUCAGCGGUAAAAUUGCGGGGCUCAACCUCGUCGAGCCGUUGAAACUGGGUGCCUUGAGUGGGCGAGAAGUACGCGGAAUGCGUGGUGUAGCGGUGAAAUGCAUAGAUAUCACGCAGAACUCCGAUUGCGAAGGCAGCGUACCGGCGCCCAACUGACGCUGAAGCACGAAGGCGUGGGUAUCGAACAGGAUUAGAUACCCUGGUAGUCCACGCAGUAAAC
rnacentral:rRNA from 1 species